UUCUGUAGGCUGAAUGGGUUGGAGCUAUAAUGCUGUAGGCUGAGUAGGUGGAGCUAAACUUCUGUAGGCUGAAUUGGUGGGGUUAAAAUGGGGUUAAAAUGUAUUUAAUACAUAUUCAAUAUGUUUGACCAAAUAUUGUUCAGAAAAAAAUAAAAAAAGUUUCCAUGUAUGAUCUGAAUUGAUUUAUUGUGUUUAUAUAUAACUUGAAACAAGACAAUAUUGAAGUUUUAGAUUAAUUGGCCAUUUAAAUAUCUUCAGAUUCUGAAAUGUAUGUGUCAGCAGCUGUGGGUGUUCACCGUCAUUCCCUGUAGCUUCCACAAAGGAAACAGCAGACAGGUCAUCAAUGUAUGUCAGUAACUGUACAUCAGUUAAAUCAGAUAGUGAUGUCGCUUGUUGUCUUGUUGUUUCAGUGGACACUAGCAUGUGUAAAGUGAUCAGAGUAGGCAGUAAUAUCAGCAAAGCUUGCUGAUUGCUCCUCACAAAGGCCCAGAACGCUGCUAAAGCAUUAUAAAUGCCACCUGCUGUACUGGAUCAGAGCAGAACCCUGAGCUCCAUGAAAGACUGUUUUUCCAGUAUGUGAUUCCUCAGACUUGAAGGUCAUCACAUCAGAGCUUAAAUGGGAAUUUUUUCCACCGAAUCCCACUCCGAUUGUGUUUAUGGUCUUCCGUUGAACUGGCGUCCGUCCAGGGCUUUUCGAGGCGUCCACAUUCCUGAUGACGCAACGCUUUAUUUAUUUCCACUUCUUCAGAGAGAGCUUUAGACCUCCGCUUUGUUCUGAGCGCCGUAUUAUUUUUAGAAGUUCAGUGAAGAAAAAAAAAAGAAAGAAAAAAAGAUAGAAGUAACCAAGACAACGGUGAGCUACACAUGCUGGCGGUUGCGUCCAGGCUGGCGAUGAGUAAUGUGAUCACUUUCGCCAAAUAAGAACAGCAUGAUUCUCAUGCCUCUCGUUUCAUUUUGCAUAUCGAGAUGUAAUUGUGGCUGUUUUUUAGACAAAUGUUAGAACAGCACCAUUCCAUCAGUCAUCAGAGCUAAGCUAGAUAUGCAGCACAGUGAGCGAGAAGUAUUUUUAACAGAUUUGGACUUAAAAAGUAUAUAUUGGUGAGAGAAAUGGUCUUAAAAAUAUAGUCAAUAUAUCAUUGAAACUGAUCAAAUCAUUGUCAUGAUUACAGUUUUUCUCUAUUGCCAAAACACAAAACCCAGUACUCUAAACCAAAUGACCAGUUACCUAAACACAUUUAGUAAAACUACCCCCCAUUUGCCACAAGCACAAACACAAUUCACCUGUAGACACUGUUCACAAAACCCAUCCACUUUUUCUCAAAACUCUAAACACAUUUUGCCUUGCUAAAACACAUUUUGCAUAUAUCUUUUUCUCCAAUAUGCAUUGUGAAGCUCAUGUGAUGCAAAAUGCCACCCACAGUCAGCAAAACUUGAACACAAUGAACAUAUCUGGUGUCAUUCAGUAAACACAACGACUCAUAAUUGAAAACACCUGUUGCAAAUGAUGUGACCUCACCUAUAUAAGUCAGUUUGUUGAAGGUUCCGAACAAAAAUGGAUGAUCAAGGCAGAAGAAGAGGAGUUCGUGUCAGAGGAAGGAGAGGAGAAGGAGGGCGAGCAAGACUACGCAUUUUCAUUACAGAUGAAAUGAGAGCAACAGUCAUUGACCACGUCAUUGUCCACGGCAUGACAAUGACCGAAGCGGGACAACGAGUCCAACCUAACCUCAGCAGAUUCUCAGUGGCCAACAAUAUUUGGGCCUUCAGAGAACACAGCAGAGUUGAAAGUUUGCCAUUUGCAGGUGGGACGCCUUCCAGAUUCACACCAGCCCAAGAGGUCCUCAUUGUGGAUAUGGUUCGGGAGAACAAUGUGAUAAGACUACGGGAGAUACAGGAGAGGAUCAGUGGUGACAACCAUAGACAGAGUCCUCAAGCUCAAGGGUACCCUUUGAGCGCAACUCUGACAGAAUAAAACACCUCCGUCACCAGAAUGUGCAACGGAUCUUCGAGUUGGAGUCCAUGGCCAUACCCCAUGAAUUUAUAUUUGUGGAUGAGGCUGGCUUCAACCUCACAAAAAGGAGGAGGAGAGGCCGUAACAUCAUAGGAGAAUAUUGCCUGUGACGUUGAUGAGGUCCUGUGGCCCGACCCAGCCUGACGACGUGAUGCCGCCCAAUGAUUUCAGUGUCCACAUACAACUUACUGUGUCAAUUUACAUGUACAACGUACUGUAAUAAAAUAAAUCGCACAUUGUGAACAUUGUGUUUUCAAUUGUUACUGUACUGUAUCUAUUGUGUGUAAUAGAUCCUCCAUGGAGUUUACAGUACUCAUUUCUGCACUGAGUUGUGAUAUUACUGCAUUUUCUGCAUUAUUCAUUAUUCCUAUGAAAUGCACAAAUCUAUAGUAAAUGCCCAAUACAUAUUUGAGAAUAAAUAAGGGUUGCUGAAAUGCAUCCUGGCAGAACUUUAAAAAGAACAGUCUCACACUCUGAAAAUUGUGUUUUGAAUGUUUUUGGUAAUGUGGUUAAUGAUACUCAGUAGUGUGUACAUUUUUGCAGGCCUUGAGCGGUAUUGUGGUGUCAAAGUUUGCUUUUGAGCAUAUGAGCAACUGCUUUGGUGUGAUGGGUUGGUUUUGCGCAUUUGAGCAACUGUUUUGGUGUGAUGGGUUGGUUUUGAAAAGAGACUGUGAGGUUGUGUGUACUUAGCUUUAGAAAAGUGUUUUGUGUUUAGAGUUUGUGAAAAAUGAGGGGCAGUAUCGUGAAAUGCGUUUAAGCAAUAGAGAAAACUGUAAAAAAAAACUGUGGUUCUGUUUUGCAUUGAAAAUGAUAAGAAUAAGUAAAUCUGUCUAAAAAUUGUGGCAUGAGAGCAUUGUGUAGACUGGAUUAUUGCACAGUUUAAACAGAAGCAAUUACACUUCUAAAAUGUGUAGUUAAAUAAAAUGUUUAUAGAAUUUUAUAGAACAAAUGAUAAACACUUUUAAAUG